UCUGAAACACUUGGUUUUCAGCUCCUGUCUCUUUAAGGCCCCUCCCUCCACGAUGAAGCCCAGUCUGCUCUGAUUGGCCAGCUGGCUCCACUCUAUUGUGAUUGGUGAACCGCUUCCAGUGCGUGUAGGAAGUUCUCUCACUCUCUCAUUUUAACCGGCUCUGUUGGGGGCGUGUCAGACCAGCCGCUGGACAUUCUUUAUGCACAUGUGUAAUAUGGAGAUGUCACCAUGUUACGCGUCGGGGAAUCUCUGUCUCAACUCCGGCUCGGGAGGCAUAAAGCCUCUCGUGAUUGAUGCUUUUGUUUCUGCAACGUGAUCAAAGCUGCUGUUUGCGGCAACAUCAAAUCCAAGGAGAACCAUUUUUUCUUCCAUUCACAUUUCCUGUGAUUCAAGUUAAACAAAGGAAAAUCCUGCUCCGUUCCGAAAACUCGAUUUUUCUUUCGAGGAAGACAUCACGCCUGCCAUAACAUCCUGAAAGUCAAUUUCGGUGGAAAACUUAAUUUAUUCAAAUUUGUCCGCGAGGAAAUCAUCCAGAACAAAUUCGAAGGAUUAGUUGGAAAAAAAUACAAAAUAAUAUAUAAAAUCCCAGAUCAAAGCUUUCGCUCAGAGGUUCUCCUCCAGCACACUGGUCCAAACAAAGUAAAAGUGCUCUGAAAGAAAAGUAGAGAGCGUUCUUCAGCGGCAGACCCACCUGCGCUCGUCAGCUUCCUGCGGACGGUGAG